rnacentral:tRNA from 1 species
CCGACAGCGGGCCGUGGGUGAGCUCGUCGAGCCUGCGGUGUUCGAUGGCGAGCCGUUCCACCAGCCGGUCGGC